CCUACGGGAGUCAGCAGUGAGGAAUAUUGGUCAUUGGGCGGAAGCCUGAACCAGCCAAGUAGCGUGCGGGAUGAAGGCCCUACGGGUCGUAAACCGCUUUUGCACGGGGAUAACACCCUCCACUUGUGGAGGUCUGCAGGUACCGUUCGAAUAAAGGCCGGCUAAUUCCGUGCCCGCAGCCGCGGUAAUACGGAAGGCCCGAGAGUUAUCCGUUUUCUUUGGGCUUAAAGGGAGCGUAGGCGGGCGUUCAAUGCAGCGGUAACAUCGCGCGGUUCAACCGAGCCCCGCAGUUGAAACUGGACGCAUUGAGUUCACAACAGGCAGGCGGAAUUCGUGGUGUAGCGGUGAAAUGCAUAGAUAUCACGAGGAACCCCGAUUGCGAAGGCAGCCUGCCGGGGUGCGACUGACGCUGAGGCUCGAAGGUGCGGGUAUCAAACAGGAUUAGAUACCCGUGUAGUC
rnacentral:rRNA from 1 species